CACUCCUACGGGAGGCAGCAGUGGGGAAUUUUGGACAAUGGGCGAAAGCCUGAUCCAGCAAUGCCGCGUGAGUGAAGAAGGCCUUCGGGUUGUAAAGCUCUUUUGUCAGGGAAGAAACGGUGAAAGCUAAUAUCUUUUGCUAAUGACGGUACCUGAAGAAUAAGCACCGGCUAACUACGUGCCAGCAGCCGCGGUAAUACGUAGGGUGCAAGCGUUAAUCGGAAUUACUGGGCGUAAAGCGUGCGCAGGCGGUUUUGUAAGUCUGAUGUGAAAUCCCCGGGCUCAACCUGGGAAUUGCAUUGGAGACUGCAAGGCUAGAAUCUGGCAGAGGGGGGUAGAAUUCCACGUGUAGCAGUGAAAUGCGUAGAUAUGUGGAGGAACACCGAUGGCGAAGGCAGCCCCCUGGGUCAAGAUUGACGCUCAUGCACGAAAGCGUGGGGAGCAAACAGGAUUAGAAACCCUAGUAGUCCCAUGAU
rnacentral:rRNA from 1 species